AUGGAUCUGACUCUCGCGCUGUCAGCUGUUAUCUUCACGCUUCUGGCUCUCGUCGUCGCGACGUCGCUGUUCAGCGGCUCUUCGCCCGCGGCCGAGUUCGCGAGUUAUUUCGGAGCUGCGGGAGACGGCGGUGCGACGGGGGGAUUAGAUCAACCGGGGCCGACGCGUAACGGGAAUCUGCCGGACGCCAAGAAGAAGAAGGAGGAGGAGAAGAAGGUGCAGCAGCAGCAGAAGGCGCAGGACGACUGGUGCGAGAUCAGCGGCAGCUCCCACGACCACUGGGAUGUGGUGAAAUCGGUGCUUUCAAGUGAAGGAGCCACAGAGAGCCCGGAGAUCAACGAUGCAAACGAGUCUUUGAGGUACGCCCCUGGAAAGGCGCGAUCCCACCACCUGCAAAGGAUGAUGUCCAAAGAUGAGCUGGAGGAGGAGCGCAGGACACACUCCAACACAGACUUUAACGGUCUGUGGGCCUGAAACAGGAGCAAUUAUGUGGUAAAGUAUGAGGUAUUCUAACCCGUCUAUCUCAGGCACUUUCUGGCCAUUGUACUCUAAAGCCAUGUAGCAGUCUCAAGUUCUUAGAGCUCAGGUGGCACAGCUUGCAUUGAUUGUGUCUCCAGUCGUCACCUCUGACAGGGGAGCGUGAGUUAAUCCUCUCAGGACUCUCCUCCGUUCUGCCACAAGGAGGACUCAGCGGAGAGCCAAACACUGAAAGGUCACGCUGACUCGCCAGUUGGCACACACAAACUAUUCAUUCCCACUGCAAUGGAGAGAGUUGACGAAAAAAUCUGCUUUGACAUGAGAAAGGCAUCUUAUUGUAUGACAGGUCAGGAGGACAGGCAGCUGGGACGAAAUGUGAUUUUAAAAUAGCAGCACUGAUUUAAUGUACUCACUGGCUGUGGGUAGACCAACCACACAACAACAUUAAAAAAAAAAAUACUUCUUCUUCAUUCUGCAUCACUGUAUUUGUUUCUCCACAUGUUCUUGUCAAGCUAGAUAUUGAUCUCUAAUAUUGGAAAAUUGGAGCCUUCAAAUAAGCCAAAUGGGUUUUUAUGUCCUCUUACUGCACUCUGAUGUUGUUUAUCUGUGGUAUGUUUUUUUAAAUUUUAGGAACCCUGCUAAUUAAUAUAAAAUAGUGCUGUCAAACAAUUUUUAUAUCCCGAUUAAUCACAUUUAUGUCAUAGUUAACUCAAAAUUAAUCACAAUUAAUCGUUAUCAAUAAAAGGUAAGCCUUCUUUGCUUUCAACCAGUUUCUCAAACAGACAAGCCUGUUGACAUUUUCAGACAACAGUGAAGCUCACUUAUUUUGCACAACAUGCCCAGACACAUAAAACAACCUUUCAGAAGGUACUGAUGUUGCCGGUGCUGCUAAGUACUUUUAAACGUUAUUUACGUCAUUUUUCUGUGUGCCCCUCCAUGUGUGGACCAUCAUUCCUGGGGACAAUCAUCCAUCCCAAAUUAACGUUGUUAACUGACAGCACUAAUAUAAAAUAAACACAUCAAAAAGGAGAAAUCUUGUCAUUGUUGCAGCACAAACACAAAAAUAGAUGUUGAUAAAUAAAGAGUAAAAUAAAAGAAACAACAGAAGGUAUAUACAACUCAAAUAGAUGUCAGAGGAACGGCACCAACAGAGUUCCUCAAGGUGCACCGGUGUUUUGGUGUUGGGGAUCAGGAACUCUGAGACUGUGUUUUUUGUUAAUCCGCAGCCUGACGCUCCUUAAAUGUAAAUAAGAGCCACUGAAGGACUAAUCCAAUAUAACAAAAUACGUAGUUACAUAGUUACAUCUGUAACAUUAUAUUUUAUUAUAUGAUCACACGUUUUGUUUGUGUAAAGCUCCAACAAUUAGUUGAUGCAUUGAUAAAUGAAUUUCUUUCCAGUUUCCUUACUUGUCUUUAUUAGUAAAAUUUGGGGUUUUAGGUUGGGAAUUCUUCAAAGUAUGACAUUUGAAGACGUCACAUUAGAGCUUGCCAUAUGCUCUCAUUUGUUGGCAAAAGAUUAUUCUAUCAAUCUGGAAAUUAAUCAGAAGAUUAUUGAAUAAUAAAAUAAUGGAAGUUUAGCUUCGACAAUAGAUGUUGGGGUCUGUCUUCUGUUGUAAAGCCCUGACUUCACUUUGUCUCCCUGGAUGAUAACUGCCGCAGAGGCCUCCUGUUGGGCCGAUAAUUCAUCAACCGCUAUUUCUCAAAAGAGGAGAAAUCAGAGAAUAUUAUCAAGACAUUGACAAUAGGGACCAGUAAAAAGUGGAACUGGAUAUCUUAAGUGAUCAACUUAAAGAGGAAUGCCAAAUACAAUACCAUGAGGUCCGAGGUAAGACAGCAACGCACGAAAGAUGAUUUGUGGUUGAGAGUCAUAAAUACAAUCUACAUUACAUAACAUUAUAUGUCAUUUAGCCAACGUUUUUAUCCAAAGCGACUUUCAAUAAGUGUGUUAAAGUGUGUAAAUUAUGGUUGAAGUGCACAGGGUUCAAACCCAGAAGAACAGGAAACAAGAAAGUGCAAUUUCAUCAAUUUACAACUUGCCAUAGAUAAGCAAUUAUAUUAUCCAAGUACAAGUCAAGUGCUACAAUCUAAGAUAAAGAAUACAUACAGACAUGUUAUCUCUUGUUUUCACUUAAUAAAUAACUUAUUUGUCCUGAGACUGUUACCAGGUAAAUAAAUACUCUUAUUUGCGUUCUAGGAGUAAAGUAUGAUAUCUAAAAUCAGUGUCUCAAAUACGGAGCUGGUUAGUUAGCUUGGUUAAAACUGAAGAGUAGAAAUUACUUCUUGUGAUUUGGCUAGCGCUUAUGUGCUAUAGACUGUUUAGUGACUGGGAGCAGUGACCUCCGUUGCCAUUUCACGUUUAGAUGUGUGUUUUUUUUUUAUGAUCGUUGGAGUGUUGAUAAAGAACUAUGACGUAUAACAACUUUACAACAUGAGUUAUUAGGGAAACUGUCCUGACAUGACAUUUGUUGCCCCAGAACCUCCGUGUGUCUCUGUGUGAGUGCUAAAGUAAUAUUAACUAAAGAUUAGCUAUGAUAUUAACAAAUAUCCUACACGAUGAGGCUAUGUGUGAAUUUUCCUAAUCAAAUUUACAUUUGU
ensembl:lncRNA